CACAGUGUAGCUUAAUAUUAAAGCAUCUGGCCUACACCCAGAAGAAUUCAUAAAUAUGAACACUUUGA
rnacentral:tRNA from 1 species